AAGGCCAUGUGAAUGCUCAAAAAUGCCGCAUGACCCUAUGUUUUUAUUGUUUCAAAAGAUAGGGCUACAUUUGUACUUUCAUGAAUGAUAUAGGAAAGAUUUUAAUUUCUAAAGUUCUAGCUGUCUAGUUUUGGCGAAGAACCCAUCCUGAUGUCCGGGUAACAGGAAUUUCUGCAGAGUGAUUGUCAAUGACAUUUUGUGAAAUUUACAAUUCUAGCUGUCUAGUUUUGGCGAAGAACCCAUCCUGAUGUCCGGGUAACAGGAAUUUCUGCAGAGUGAUUGUCAAUGACAUUUUGUGAAAUUUACAAUUCUAGCUGUCUAGUUUUGGCGAAGAACCCAUCCUGAUGUCCGGGUAACAGGAAUUUCUGCAGAGUGAUUGUCAAUGACAUUUUGUGAAAUUUACAAGUAAUUAAAACAUAGAUUUACUAUAAUGAAACAUAAUUGUUGUUUUAUUUGGUAUGAAACUGCUUAAAAAAGCCUUUGAAAAGUCUUUUUGUGGUCUUUUCAUGGUAUUUAACCAACCACUUCCAUAUAAGGGAAAAAACUAACUAAGAGUACACCAAGACUUUAGUUUCUAGAUGUACUUGCAAUACUACUCAAAGCAAACACAGAAAACAAUUCAUAUUUAUUAAACAUAGUUUUUUACACCAUUCUUUUAAAAACAGUCAAUGCCCAACUGUAUAUACCAAAUAUACAUUGGCCGCAGUAUGGGCUGUAGUAUAAAUUUUGCUCUAUCUUUACAAAUUCAGCAUUUUUGAAGGUUGUAUUGAAACUGGAACUUGAAAAUUGGAUACAUUACAUGUUUAUUACAAAAAAAGAUGGAAAAGAAGUAAAGAAGUCUCUUAUAGGGGUAAAUUCAGUAAAUAAAUAUACGUCAUCAGGGACCGCCCAUUUAGGGGAGAGCUUUCUGUAUAACAGUGAAGUUAUAUGGUCUUCUGAUUGGCAGAUAAUGUUUGUAAUAAAUAUUUUUUGGUAGAUGGAUCAAAACUAGAGUUGAAAAAAAAUAAAAAAUAAAUGCUGAAUGUACUAAUUUUUUCCCCUUCAGGGUUGAAAAGUAAUGGGGGUCAGUAUGGGAAUUCAGUGCGAAUCUACAUUGUUUGUAAACAAGGCCAUGUGAAUGCCCAAAAAUGCCGCAUGACCCUAUGUUUUUAUUGUUUCAAAAGAUAGGGCUACAUUUGUACUUUCAUGAAUGAUAUAGGAAAGAUUUUAAUUUCUAAAGGUAAAUCAGGCAUAAAUUUAUUUCCACACAUAGAUUAGCAUUAAAGUC